rnacentral:rRNA from 1 species
CAAUAGCGUAUAUUAAAGUUGUUGCGGUUAAAAAGCUCGUAGUUGGAUUUCUGCUGAGAACGACCGGUCCGCCCUUUGGGUGUGUAUCUGGCUCUUUCUUGGCAUCUUCUUGGUGAACGUUGCUGCACUUGACUGUGUGGAGCGCUACCCAGGACUUUUACUUUGAGGAAAUUAGAGUGUUUCAAGCAGGCAUACGCCUUGAAUACAUUAGCAUGGAAUAAUAAGAUAGGACCUCGGUUCUAUUUUGUUGGUUUCUAGAGCUGAGGUAAUGAUUAAUAGGGAUAGUUGGGGGCAUUCGUAUUUAACUGUCAGAGGUGAAAUUCUUGGAUUUGUUAAAGACGGACGACUGCGAAAGCAUUUGCCAAGGAUGUUUUCAUUG